rnacentral:rRNA from 1 species
GAUGAACGCUGGCGGCGUGCCUAAUACAUGCAAGUCGAGCGAACAGACGAUGAGCUUGCUCCUCUGACGUUAGCGGCGGGCGGGUGAGUAACACGUGGAUAACCUACCUAUAAGACUGAGAUAACUUCGGGAAACCGGAGCUAAUACCGGAUAAUAUAUUGAACCGCAUUGUUCAAUAGUUAAAGACGGUUUUGCUGUCACUUAUAGAUGUAUCCGCGCCGCAUUAGCUAGUUGGUAAGGUAACGGCUUACCAAGGCAACGAUGCGUAGCCGACCUGAGAGGGUGCUCGGGCACACUGGACAUGAGACAAGGUCAAGACUCCUAAGAGAGGCAGCAGUAGAGAAUCUUCCGCAAAGGGCGAGAGAGUAACGAAGCAACGCCGCGAGGGUGAUGAAGGUCUUCGGAUCGAAAAACUCUGUUAUGAGGGAAGAACAAAUGUAUAAACAACUAUGCACGACUUGACGGUACCGAAUUAGAAAGCCACGGCUAACUACGUG